rnacentral:sRNA from 1 species
GGAUACGCCCAUGUUCUUCCGAAUCUCCCCAUGGCGGGAUACAUUACGCAGUACAAGCUCCAAGCAACUAGCGAGUGGGCUAAGAAGCUAACAAGCUCAUUCAGCCAGGCCUGUGCAAAUUCACAUGCUCGGAGAAUAAAUCAUGCUAAGGAGAUACGAUAGAUAACAGUUGCGAACAUCGGAGGAAGCAGGGGGAAGAAGCUAUGGGAAGCCUGAUGCUAUACUAGUGCCAGUCUAGGUAACUCUCUCGUUGCAUCCAUGGAUAAUGUCUGUGUUCUCGGUUCGGGCAAUGGGGGUUUUUGGCAUGUGGUGGUGGUGGUGGUGAUGGUGCUAACAAGAGCAACUUGAGCUUCAAUUUCAACUUGAAUCCCCGUAAUGUAUAGCUGUUGAAUUUAUCUUUCAUUAUUCAAACCACGUUUGAACACAAAGAGAAUAAGAGGUGUCCUUAAUCUAGCAAAGAAAAGAACAGAAAAGUAAAGAAAGGACAAAACGGAAACAAACAAACAAACAAGUAAAUAAAAACC